CUGAGACACGAAAUUCGGUUCCUAUUUCCCCUGCUGCUAGAAGUCCAAGGACGCCAGCCAGUUCCGAGUCAAGCAAACAUGAUUCUAUGAAAAAGAAUUCUUUGAGAUCGUCUCAAUUGUCCAUUUCUUCAAUCUGGUAGUCUCUCAACAUCUCUUGACAUAAAUUCCAAUUUUUAUAUGAAGUAUGGGAGCUUUCAUUGAGAUAUAAUAAUAGGUUAUCAGAAUACUUAUAUGUAUGAUUAGCUCUUGAUAUUAUCUUAAGUUUGUUUCUACUCUUAUAUCAUUAUCAUUUUUACUAAAAUACAUGUCUUGUUUCAGAAACUUGACAUUCUUGAUUUUGUGAAGAGCUUAAAGAAGUUUGACAAAGUAAGUAUACUAAUUAAUAUGAAGUUCUGUAAGUAUUUAUAUAUUCUCAUAUUUCUGAAUUUUGAUACUAUUAUACAGUUAAGUUUUCAUCUAAAGAGCUAAUAAUUGAAAAAACCUCAAAUCAUUAGAAUUUAACACAAAAAACUGACUUCAUGGAGUACAUAAUAGAACUUACGAAGUUUGUCCCAAUCUCCAAAUAAGUUAUAGUCCAAGACAAAAAAUAAAUCACUAAAUCUUGCAACAUCUAUUCCUUCUCCUGCUUGAUACAAACUUUGGCUAUUUUUGUUGGCUUAGUGCAAGAAAAUUGGUCUAUUAGACUUCUUUUAAUGGAUCCAUCAUCAAUCCACUCAACCUCAUCUUCAAGCUUUGAUUCCGUAGCAACAGGAGUCUCUUCUCCAACUCUAUCCAUAACCUCAUUCGAACUCUCCAAUAUAGGAAAUGAAUCAGAUUGUUGGCUGUCCGAGCAGUUGGUAGAGUGCGUAGCAAUAAUUUUAGGAUCCGUUGCUAGAGUUGAGACACUAUAUGCCUUAUUAAAUGCCCAACCUUCCCCAAAAGGAACCUUAAUCUUGAACAUAAAUUUUUGUUGAAGUAGGGCAUGUUGAAUCUCUUUUGGAACAGCAAACUCCUUUAAGAUAAAAAAGAAAAUGCACACAUUAAUACACCUUAACAUGUAUUUACGUAAAAUAUUACUUGUAUUGGUUUUUGAAGUAAAAAGAAAAUAAAAAAAUGUACCUCUAUUCCUUCAACAUUAACUUCUGCGGCUGAUUUUCCUAUUACUUGCUUACUCUCCCUAUCCCAUAGUACAAAAGGUGAACUGCUAGAGUCGUCUGCAACAUUUAUUAUCAACUUAUACUUCAUUUCUCCCGACUCGCUAAAGUUGCUGCAAUACUUGCAAUAGAAUUGCUUCUCUAAUUUCUCAAGUUUCCUAAAGCACUUUUUGCAAGAUAUAUAAAACCAACCCCUUUCUUCGUCAAUGUUAACUACAGUACCACAUAUCCAAAAGCUUCCACCCUGUUAAUAUAACACAAAGUAUUUAACACAUAUAAAAUAUUCAGUUUAGAGAUAUUGUAUGUCUUUAAUUGUACCUCUGAAUUCUCACAAAGGUCUUUUAUGCUUGUCACGGUGACUCCGGCUGCAAGCUCAUCAAUAACAGUUGAACUUAUUGCUUGUGAAGUACUUGAGAUAACCGUAGUGCUUAAGCCGGAGUGAAUAAGCCUUGAAAUCAAACAUGGUCAACAAUCAGAAAAAUGUAUAUAUAUACACACACACAUUAAAAGAUGAAUAUGUCUUCAAACAAUAAAUGGUUUGACAUCAAACAAUUAGUUAAAUAAAACAUACCUCUCCUUGAACUUAUGUAUGUCACGUAUAUCUUCGUUCAACAAAAUUUUAGUAACUUGGUACCCAUUUUGCACUUUUACAACACAUGUGAGUUUAAAUAAUAAUAAUAAUAAUGAAGUUGCAAUAUAGCCUAAUAGAUAUUAGAAGCACAAAAGGUUAAAUUCGAUUAAGACUACUUUAUUUAUCUCUAAAAACAUGUUCUCAAAAUUAAUAGAAGAAAUCAUAUUAUUAUAUUCCUAAUCACACUUUGUUUUUAGAUGUGUUCAUCUCUAAACACAUGUUCUGAAAAUUGAUUAAAGAAAUUAUAUUUGAAACAUAAAUUGAAGUAUGAUUGUCACUACAUAAGUUGAAAAUAAUUAAAUAAGUAAAGCUAUUGACUCAAACAAAAUAAAGUUAAGUUCAAAUUUUUAAGUGCCAACAUUGUACUUACCUUGAAACAUACUUAGCCUGCAAAACUGUAACACAAUAAUGUUGACAUCCAUUUGACGUUCUUCAUAUUGUUUCAUGAAAAUAUCAACAUAAUUCUCCCACAAAGUGCAAGACAUUCUCUUUCCCCUUUGAAACAGUAUUAUAUAAUAUAGUAAGAACAACAAUAAUUUAGUUUUAAUAAUAAAGAAGUAGCGACAAAAAUGUACAUAAAUACUCACUCGGUAUCUUCUAGAAUAAGAUCCAAUAUUUUUUUUUCUUUACCAUCUCGAGUUGUCAGUUUUGUUGGAUUAGGCCGGGAGGCAAUUCUGCCUAUAACAUCUGCACAUGUCACGUUGAUGGGACUAAGAUUUUGUAGUGUAUGUAAAUAUAUGAAAAAAAUAUAAAAAUAUUUUAUCAUUACCAAUUGGAAGAGCAUCUGCAAUGUUUUCAGUGGCUUGAAUAUCAUCAAAUGACUUGAAUGCAUAAAUGAUAUUAGGAAAAGUUGGAUUAGCUUCAACUCUCACUUCCGUGUUUCCAUAAAAAGUUGCUUUAUAUUUAUUCGAAGUAACUCUAAACUUUGAUUGAUUAUGUGUAACACCGAAGUUACGUAUAGCAUAAAGUCCUCCUUCUUGAAACUUAGAGAUGAACUUAGAUGCUAUAAGUUUUGGUGCUGUGAAAUGGUACCUAGUUCCCUGCAAUUUGAACAUUUUAACAUGUGUAAGCUCUCUUAAACGUUUAGGAGUGCUAAAAAAAUCUUAUUGUAACAACUAUAAUGUAAUAUAAACAUUAUCCUUCUUAAAAUACUAUAGUGACAAUGACAUUAUGAAUCUGCAACCAUUUUUUGUUAUUAGAUUUGCUUACCAAUUGGAGAAUUUGAACUCUUUGGAUCAAAAUGGAUUAGAAUACAUGAGGGUUUUGAAAAAAAAAACUGUAUUUUUUUAGAGAGCACAACUAAAGAAUUUUAAUAUACUCUUAAGUCUUAACUGCUAAUAUUUGUUUGUAUAUAUCCAACGACUAAUUAAUCAUAUGAGUUUGGUAGAGCUCAGAGCAAAGCCAUCUGGGCGCCAGAGCAGAGCCCAUCUGGGCCAGAGUAGAGAGAGCUCGAUGCCAGAGCAGAUCCCAUCUGGGCGCCAGAGCAGAGCCCAUCUGGGCGCCAGAGCAGAGCCCAUCUGGGCCAGAGCAGAGAGAGCUCGAUGUCAAAGCAGAUCCCAUCUGGGCGCCAGAGCAGAGUCCAUCUGGGCGCCAGAGCAGAGAGAGCUCGGUGCCAGCUCUGGGCGCCAGAGCAGAGCCCAUCUGGGCGCCAGAGCAGAGAGAGCUGUGUGACUUAUAUGACCAAUUUUUGAAAAUGAGGCCUGUUGCAAUAUCAGCAAACUUAUAGGUAUGAUCAUCUCUUGAUAAUAUCUUAAGUUUGUUUAUAAUCAUUAGAAUUUAUAUCUUACGGAUUCUGUCCCAAUCUCAAAAUAAGCAUAAAAAACUAUUUAGCUCAUCAUUUUUGGUUGAAGGCAUGCUAUAACAUCUUAUAAGCAUAAAAACUAUUUAGUAAGCAUAAAAAACUAUUUAGCUCAUCAUUUUUGGUUGAAGGCAUGCUAUAACAUCUUAUAAAACUUUGAUAUAUAAAUCAUACCUCUAUAUCAUGGAAUAUGCAUUCAAAACUAUUUAGCUCUUCAUUUUUGGUUGAAGGCAUGCCAUAACAUCUUAUCAAUCUCGCUUUAACUGCAGGUGACAUUGCCAAAGGGCGAAGCUCGUUGAAGAGUGACCACAUUCCGACCAUCAGUGUUUUUGAACACAAUGAAUCUACAACCAUUUUUAGUUAUUAGAUAUUGAAACUGUAGCAGCUAUAAUGUAAUAUAUAAACAUUACAUCUCUUAAAAUACUACACUAACAAUGACAUUAUAUGAAUCUGCAACAACUUUUAACUAUUAGAUUUGCUUACCAACUGGAGGAUUUCAACUCUAGGUUUGAAUGUAGAAUGCAAGAGGCUGUUGAAAAAAUUUGUAUAUGCCUUAUGUUCUAUAUAUAUGAUUUGUUAGUAUUGGAUUUUAAAAAAUUCAGGCAGGUGUUUUGGGCAUUUCAAUCGGCGGCAGAAUGCGAAUGGACACAUUUAUCUUUUUUUGAUUAUGAAGGUUAUAUAUUACAUUAUGUUAUAUGUUAUUAUAUUUGAUUGGAAGAGCAUCGAGUUGAGUGUUUGCAUGUCAGAAAAAGUGGGCUGCGCCCUUUUGAAGUGUUUGCAUUUCAAUUUGGAGUGUUUGCAUGUUAUUAUAUUCUCAAGGUUUAAAGCAGCAUGCAUGCGCUGCUUUUUAGUGUUUGCAUGUCAGAAAAAGUGGGUGGGAAAAUGAAGUUAAUUAAUAUAACUAAUAAGUAAUAAAAUAUUAUUUAUAAUAAAGUAAUAAUUUUUGCAUGGAAGAUGUGUUUUUGGCGGGAAGUUUUCAUGCAGAAAGUCUCCACCAAAAACAAUUGUUUUACUUCCAAAUGGAACGUCAUAGCUAUGAGGGCAGGAAAAAUGCAUUAUAUCACGCAGAGUUUUAUCCAAUGCUUCAAAACAAAAUUUAUGCAUCAUAGGUGCCUCAUCCCAAAUGAUAAGUUUUGCUCUUAUUAUGAGAUUAGCAAGAUCACUGCCUUGUUUUAUAUCGCACGUUGAGUCUUCAUUUGCAUUGAUUGGAAUUUUGAAGCGUGAAUGUGCUGUUCUUCCGCCAGGCAACAAAAGAGAAGCUAUUCCACUUGAAGCAACAUUUAUAACAAUAUCACCUUUUGAACGUAGUGCGGCAGAUAAUCCCUUCCAAAUAAAAGUUUUACCAGUACCUCCAUAACCAUAUAGAAAGAACAUUCCGCCAGAAUUCGAGUUCACUGCACUUAAUACUUUAUCAUGGACAUGACGUUGCUCAUCUGUACACUUUUGCAAGAACUCUCGAUACUCCUCUUCAAGGGCAACGCGAUCAUACUGUAGCUCAUCAAUAAUCAAUCUAUUUUGAUUCAUUUGAAAUACAUCCUCAUUUGGAAAUGGCAUGCUUGAAAAAUCACGCAAACUCCUACCCAAACUACGCAACAACUUCUCAAUCUCGAUCAAAGCACAAUUUUUUAUCUCAUCCUCAGUAAGUAGUAAAUCUGAGAUAUUAUUUUUAAGAAAAUUAAAAUCUAAAGAAUAUACGAUGCAUGAUAAAAUCGUGUAAAAAGUAUAUAUAUAUAUAUAUAUAUAUAUAUAUAUAUAUAUAUAUAUAUACAUAAUUCUUCGAUUGUACAAAAUGUCAUCUGAAAGACAACUCCAACAAUUAUCCCAAACAUUUUCUGGUCUAGCAAGAGAAUCUGAGGCUAAUAAAGUUGACAAAAAGAUUUCUUAAAGAACUUGAUGAUGCCCAUUGACUUGCUUCAUUUAUUCCAUCAAUGUACUCAUUGUCGUCGUCUAAAAGUCCCAAAGCAUAGCAAGCAUCUCGAAAUGUAGCAUAUUGAACUCCAUUUAUAGAUCUUAUGUCUUCAUAACAUCUUGGUCCACGAGCAACAUUAAGUAGGCAUCUUUCAUAGUAUAACUCUCCAGAACCAGGAUGAAUGUAGCUUAAUCUUCCAAUUGCAUAUCUCAUUUUUCUUGGCUGCCAUUCUCUUUUCUUUUUUUCCAAACAAAUUUGGUUGGAAACUCAGCGUAAGUUAGCUGUCUUGCUUCUGGAUAUUUCUUAUUUGCUUCAAACCAAGCCAAAAACAUACUCUGAUUAACAGUGGGACGAUCAAGUACAACUUCUAAUGGAUCAGAGUCUGUAAAUAUCACACUUUGUUCACCUGGAAGAUGAAAGCCCAAUCGCUCAACAGCAGGAUCUCUAUAUUGAAUAUCAAACUUAAAUAUUCUCCAUGCUGCUUCACAAGGUGAUAUGUAUCUACAAUCAUAGUACAUCUUCACUUCAUCACAAUUUUUUUGAACUUCAUCCUCUUUAGUACUUUCAUUAGAAAGCUGCUGUCACUCGAUCAUGGCCUUUAUUUAUAUACUUGAACAAAUACUUGAUUGAUCUUGAUUGAUUGCACCAUUCAACUAUUUAUAUGUGCACCAUACUUCAUAAGAAUAUAUUUAUUAUGAGGUACCACAUAUCUGUUAUCCAAUACAACACCACUUUUUCCACAAACCUGCCAUUGUCUCGACGUCUAUAUACGGGAUAUCCUUCUUCAUCAACAGAAGUUAUCUCAAUAAACUUCUUUGGAAAAUAUUUGGUGCACCGACCAUUAGACAUGCACGGAGAAUUUUUCUUGGCUGCUCCACAAGGACCAUGCAUCAUAAAAUCUUGCACUGAUUUGUAAUAAUGCCCAUCAAUUUUUGGAUCUGGAAUUUCUGCUGAGAUAACACUAUCAAUGUGCUCGGGUGUUGGAUGCUUAUCUUCUUUGCUCAAAAAUAAUAAGAUGUGAGUAUGAGGUAGUCCACGCUUCUGAAAUUCAACUGUGUAUACAACUACAUAAUAUGAUUAAAAUUAGUAAAUGAUAUACAUAAAAUAUUAUUUAGAGGAUAUUAAUUCAAAAUACAUAAUAUUGCAUUUUACCUGCUCUAACAGUGCCAAAUAUUUUAUUCUUUCGAAAGUCCUUUAUCANGAUUGGAAGAGCAUCGAGUUGAGUGUUUGCAUGUCAGAAAAAGUGGGCUGCGCCCUUUUGAAGUGUUUGCAUUUCAAUUUGGAGUGUUUGCAUGUUAUUAUAUUCUCAAGGUUUAAAGCAGCAUGCAUGCGCUGCUUUUUAGUGUUUGCAUGUCAGAAAAAGUGGGUGGGAAAAUGAAGUUAAUUAAUAUAACUAAUAAGUAAUAAAAU
rnacentral:lncRNA from 1 species